UAGGGAAUCUUCCGCAAUGGGCGAAAGCUUGACGGAGCAACGCCGCGUGAGUGAUGAAGGUCUUCGGAUCGUAAAACUCUGUUAUUAGGGAAGAACAAAUGUGUAAGUAACUAUGCACGUCUUGACGGUACCUAAUCAGAAAGCCACGGCUAACUACGUGCCAGCAGCCGCGGUAAUACGUAGGUGGCAAGCGUUAUCCGGAUUUAUUGGGCGUAAAGCGCGCGUAGGCGGUUUUUUAAGUCUGAUGUGAAAGCCCACGGCUCAACCGUGGAGGGUCAUUGGAAACUGGAAAACUUGAGUGCAGAAGAGGAAAGUGGAAUUCCAUGUGUAGCGGUGAAAUGCGCAGAGAUAUGGAGGAACACCAGUGGCGAAGGCGACUUUCUGGUCUGUAACUGACGCUGAUGUGCGAAAGCGUGGGGAUCAAACAGG
rnacentral:rRNA from 1 species